ACUCCUACGGGAGGCAGCAGUAGGGAAUCUUCCACAAUGGGCGCAAGCCUGAUGGAGCAACACCGCGUGAGUGAAGAAGGGUCUCGGCUCGUAAAGCUCUGUUGUUAAAGAAGAACACGUAUGAGAGUAACUGUUCAUACGUUGACGGUAUUUAACCAGAAAGUCACGGCUAACUACGUGCCAGCAGCCGCGGUAAUACGUAGGUGGCAAGCGUUAUCCGGAUUUAUUGGGCGUAAAGAGAGUGCAGGCGGUUUUCUAAGUCUGAUGUGAAAGCCUUCGGCUUAACCGGAGAAGUGCAUCGGAAACUGGAUAACUUGAGUGCAGAAGAGGGUAGUGGAACUCCAUGUGUAGCGGUGGAAUGCGUAGAUAUAUGGAAGAACACCAGUGGCGAAGGCGGCUACCUGGUCUGCAACUGACGCUGAGACUCGAAAGCAUGGGUAGCGAACAGGAUUAGAUACCCUGGUAGGAUAGCG
rnacentral:rRNA from 1 species